ACCCUACCCCGGAAGUAAUUCUGGGCGUUGUAAUUAUCCGGUUUUUGCGACGCUAUACGCAGAUAUUGCCCGGGGCUAGACCACAAUCCGUACUAUUAAAGGAUUCUUACCUACGAACUUCUGGGGGGUGGAACGCUUGCGUUUGGUGAGGCUGUUGGCCAGCCGAUCAAUGAAGGUUGGCCGCUCAGAGGAUGAGUGCAACAUGGAGUCUGGCACCAUCUCCAGAUCGCAUCCCUUUGUGAAGAGGGGGUAGAUGCUAGAAUCAUCCUGGUCCUGCACUCCCUCUGACCCAGCCCUCAACUCCCCCACAGGCCUGCCUACAGCCCUACCUGCUUG